rnacentral:lncRNA from 1 species
CUGCAGCCUAGAAGCAAGGAGGAGGACGAAGAGGCGUACAUAGGCAAAGCAAAUUGGGGACGGCUGCCAGCGAGAAGCCGCCAGUGAAGCCAAUAAAUAUUCCUAUCAAAAGGUACAGGCACUUACCGCCGCUCCGGACCCAAGACCUAAAACUCACGGACCAGCCAACGGGCGGCAAUGUAAGCUUACAUUACCUUAAGGUCGGCCAGUAGCUUAAGUGCCCCGUCCCGACCUGCUACUUCCAGCUCUACAUACGACCUAUGCAACACUAUCCAGAGUCUGCUCGUUUUCAGAGCAGGCUCUCCUAAGAGCGUUGAAGGUCUUGGGCGGGAGAUCCAACACCCCGAACACGGUCACACCCGGCGAAGUGUAAGGCACCCUCAGGCAAAAAUCCUUGGAUGUCACUGGAUGUCUUGCUAAAUGAGUAAGUGUGGGCCUGUGCUGCAGAAAGACAGUCAACGGUCUUGUUGUGGUGGUCCGAGCGCGCGAACGCUAGAACGCCACCAUUUUUGCCGCCAUACGCACCAGUAUUGCAACGUGGAUUAUAUGUGUGCAUUGUAUCUAUGGUCAAUAGGAACAAUGCCAGCAGUGAAUAUGAUUGACUGAAUUCGUGAUAGUGGUCAUCGCUUAUUGUAGCAUGUCCGUCUAAUUAAAAGACCAGACUAUAUGAGCUUACAAGCUAAUUAGCUGUGAUUCAGCUUGAAUGUGCUUGUCAGGAGUAUCAAUGGAGGUAAAGCAGCAUGCACAUAUGCGUACGACCACCCCCGGCCGGUAAUAUGUCGGCCGACCUCAGGACUGACUGCCUGAUGUUUCACAAAGACAUAUAUUAUAUAACAUUGGAUGACAACCAAGGGCAUCCAUUUAGUGAAGACCUGUCGUCGACUUGCGUGUGUGCUGCCAGCAUUCGCC